UACAGAGGUGGCAAGCGUUGUUCGGAAUUACUGGGCGUAAAGGGCGCGUAGGCGGCGCAACAAGUCACUUGUGAAAUCUCCGGGCUUAACCCGGAGCGGCCAAGUGAUACUGUCGUGCUAGAGUGCGGAAGGGGCUACUGGAAUUCUCGGUGUAGCGGUGAAAUGCGUAGAUAUCGAGAGGAACACCUGCGGCGAAGGCGGGUAGCUGGGCCGACACUGACGCUGAGGCGCGAAAGCAUGGGGAGCGAACAGG
rnacentral:rRNA from 1 species